rnacentral:rRNA from 1 species
UACAGAGGGGGCAAGCGUUAUUCGGAAUUAUUGGGCGUAAAGGGCGCGUAGGCGGCUUGGCAAGUGGAUGGUGAAAUCCCUCGGCUUAACCGAGGAACUGCCGUCCAAACUGCUUCGCUUGAGACCGGGAGAGGUGAGUGGAAUUCCCAGUGUAGCGGUGAAAUGCGUAGAUAUUGGGAGGAACACCAGUGACGAAGGCGGCUCACUGGACCGGUACUGACGCUGAUGCGCGAAAGCGUGGGGAGCAAACGGG